CUGGCCGCAAUUUCGGUUUCACCGACAGCGGUGGAGCAACGCGGCUCCCACAGCCUGGGUUGCUGCCUCUGCUGCUCAUCCUGCUGCCGCUGCUCCUCAUCCCCUUGCUGCUGCAGAUCCUCAUCCUGCUGCAGCCAGAGCUGCUGCUAUUGCGACUGCCGCUGAUUCUGCGUGCAGCUCCAGCGCGCGGCUGCAGUCCAUCGCCCGGAGCAGCCAACACCAAAUUAUCCAGCCUGGCCACAGCCGAGGGAAUGAGGCAAGAGUCCCCGAGGUCACCGCAGCGAGGCUGAGCGUGGACACCCAGCAAUAACAAACUAAACCCGCUUGGGAUUUGCAGUGCCAGCAGCCUUUCCAAGUUUCUUUUCCGCUUUGCUCCCACCCUGCUGUUGAAUUUGAGAUCAUGUAUGUGUUUUGCCGUCGAUUACAGGAGGGUGUUAAAAUCUAUGGAGAGUAGAGGAUUCGGAAGGAUUAAUAUGUCGGUUAAUAUUGUAGCUUUGGGGAAUGAAAGAGAUGGUGUUUCCGAGGACAGUCAGCAGCCCAGCCUGAUCUGGAGCUAUCUCGGGAGAAGUGUUCUCAUUUCCCAGAUGAACAGCAGCUUGUCUCCCAGUCACGUUGGAAAGCAAGUUUUUACAAAGUAUCAAGCCUGCAUAUUUGGGAAUGUCAGACUGGUGGUACACGACUGUCCGGUCUGGGAUAUAUUUGACAGUGAUUGGUACACUUCCUACAGGCUCAUUGGAGGAGCUGAUAUUAUUGUGAUUAAAUACUCAGUUAAUGACAAGACUUCAUUUCAAGAACUAAAAGACAGCUAUGUGCCAAUGGUAAAAAAAGCCCUGAAUCACUGCUCAGUUCCAGUAAUAAUUUCUGCUGUUGGUGCAAGAAAAAACGGAGUGCCUUGCUCCUGUCCCCUGUGCUCUUCAGACAGGAGGAGCUGUGUCACAAACUCUGAAGGAGUUCAGCUUGCAAAGGAACUUGGAGCCACUUACCUUGAACUGCAGACUCUUAAUGACUUCUACAUAAAGAAAUACUUUGGAGGAGUGCUGGAAUAUUUUGUGAUCCAAAGUUUGAAUCAGAAGUCAUCUGAAAAAGUGAAGAAAAGGAAAAAGGUGCAGAAGUGCUGUAGAGUCCAACCACCUCAGCUUGAACAGCCAGAAAAUAUGCCGAUCCUGAAGGGUGAAGCUUCUCGCUACAGGGCAGACCUGUACAACCUGCUCUCCUGCUGCCAGUGUGCAGAUGUGGCCUUCUACUCUGAGGACCUCAGCAUGGCAGUGGAGGCUCACAAGAUCAUCCUCUGCUCUGUCAGCCACCUCUUCAUGCUGCUGUUUGGGGUGAAGAGCUGGUCUGACACCCACGAUGCCUCCAUUGUGCAGCUGGCACAGAGUCUCUUUGCAGUGGAGGCAGGGCAUCCCUUCCGCUCAUUCCCCCAUGGUGCCCCACCCUGUGUCCUGCCAGUCAGGGUGGUGGUGAAGGAUUCUGUGUUCUUCUCUUGUCUCCCAGAUAUCCUCCACUUCAUUUAUUCAGGUGCUUCCCAGUGGGAACGAUUAGAAGAGGACAUAAAAAAGAAGUUGAAGGAUACAGAUAAAACAGAACAUGUGCUUGAGAAAGUUAAAUGCAUCCUGAAAACUCCAGGGAAGCUAAACACUGUAAAGGACUGCAAGUCUCACCAGAUAAAACAGCUCAGAAAUACUUCUCUCAGGCUAUUCUUUAACACACCUGUGCUGGCUGAUGUAAUCUUCAAAGUACAAGGUGCAAUGGUACCAGCCCACAGGGCAAUUCUGGUGGCCCGCUGUGAGGUUAUGGCAGCUAUGUUUAAUGGUAAUUAUCUAGAAGGAAAUAGCAUUCUGGUACCAGUGUACGGGGUUCCCAAGGACACUUUCCUGUCCUUCCUAGAGUACCUUUACACUGACUCAUGCUGCCCAGUCAGUAUUCUUCAAGCAAUGUCUCUACUGAUCUGUGCAGAGAUGUACCAAGUAAUGAGACUUCAGCAUAUUUGUGAACUCUACAUCAUCACACAGCUUCAAAACAUGCCUAGCAGGGAAUUGGCUUCCACAAGCCUCAGUAUUGUUAGUUUGCUCAAAAAAGCUAAGUUUCACAAUUCUGAUUGCCUUUCAACUUGGCUUCUUCAUUUUAUUGCCACUAACUACCUCAUCUUCAGUCAAAAGCCUGAAUUUCAAGAACUUUCAGGUAUUUUUCAUUUUGAAGAGACAAAAGGUUUUCUGUUUUGCUGAGAUGAAAUUUAUGUUCUGAAUAAUACCAUAUUUACAUGAAAAAAUAAUUAGGGUUUCUUUAGGAUAUUUCAGCAGGAUGUUUCACCACCCUAGUGUGAGAUCAGCACGCAACAUGACACAGCCAGCACUGCAUCACCACUUUUUUAUUUCUAUUGGGAUGGCCAGGUUCACACCCAUAACUGAAUUUGCUGGAACAGUUUGGUCAUUGUAUGUCCCCUUCAUGUUUUCUUCAUAAUUUAAAUCAAGGUAAUGGAUCAUUUUUUACACUUCUUCCAGUGCUGGGGUUUUCCUUGAAGAAAACAGGGUUCUUACAAUGCACUCCAGCAGAUCCCAUAAAAUGAAAAAUCUAUGGUCCAUUCAAGUAAAUAAGUCCAGCUUCUUACAGGGACUUGAUAUUUAUUUUUCCGAGCAUUUGUAUUUGCUUCUGAUGGUGUAACUAGAAAAUUUUGCUCAUUCCCUGCGUGGUUUUCCUUCACCCCUAUGAGGGGUGCAUCUCUUUGACCUGGAUACAUCUCUUUGACCUGUGACACCUCAUCACCUCAAAAUUCAGGACAGCAACACACAGAAGCGGGCAGUGGCUCUCCAAGGAUUUUCCAAGACCUGAGACCUUCACAGAAUCACAGAAUCAGCUGAGUUGGAAGAACACACAAGGAUCAUUGAGUGCAACUCCUGGCCCUGCACAGCACCAUCCCCAAGAAUCACACCAUGGGAGUAUUGUCCAAAAGCUUCAUUAAUUCUAUCCAGCUGGUGCUGUGACCACUGCCUUGGGGGGCUUUCCAGUGCCCAAACACACACUAGGGGAAGAACCUUUUUCUAAUCCAGCCUAAACCUCCCCAGCAUAACUUCGGGACAUACCCUUUGAUCCUGUCACUGGUCACCACUGAGAGAAGAUCAGUAUCUGCCCCUCCUUUUCCCCUUUGCCUCUCUUCUUCCUCUCACAAGGAAGUUGCAGACCCCAGUGAGGUCUGCCCUCAGUUUUCUCCAGGCUGAACAGACCAAAUGUCCUCAGACAUUCCUCACACAGCUUCCCCUCAUGACUCUUUACUGUCCUCCUUAGGACACUCUCUAACAUCAUUCUUAUAAUGUAGUACCCCAGUCUGUCCCAGGAUUUCAGGCAGUGCCAGCAGAGUAGGACAAUCCCCUCCCUUGCCUGGCUGGCAGUGCUGUGCCUGGUGCCCGCCAGGGACAGGAAUGUCCCUUCUGGCUUCCAAGGCAUUGCUGUCUCAUGUCUGACUUGACACUGACUAGGACCCUCAGAUCCCUUUCCAGGACACUGCUCUCCAACAUCUCAUUCCUCAAUGUGUCUGUACAUCCAGUGUUGCCCCACCCUAGGUACAGAAUCCAGCAUUUUCCUCUUUUGAACUUCCUAUGGUUGGCAAUCGCCCAGUCUUCUCAUUAAUUGAGGCCUCUCUGCAGAGUCUCCCUGCUUUUGAGGAAGUCAGCAGCUCCUCCCAGAUUUGUAGCAACUGCACACUUGCUCCAUGUCCUUUCCACUCCUCCAUCCAGGUAAUUUAUGAAGAUAUUGAAGAGCCUAGGGCCAAGGAUGGAGGCUUUUUGAACCCUGCUAGCAACAGAUCACCAGUCUGAUGUCACCCCAGUCACUGUAACCCUUUGUGCCUGACCUGUGAGCUAGUUGCUCACCCUUCACAUGAUGUGUUUACCCAGAUGUGGGCUGGACAUUUUGUAAAGAAGGAUCCUGUGAGAACCACUACCAAAAACUUUACUGACAUCCAAAGAAGAUCCAUCAACUGCCUUCCCUUGAUCAUCUAGAUGGUUAUCUUGCCACAGAAGAAAUCAGAUUUUAUAAGUGGAUUAUUCCCCUGAAGAAUGAAGCCCUGCCUUGUGCCCAGUUGAGUGCAGUUUGCCUGCCCUCAGACUCCCCAGGCUGUGGGCCUCUCUGCUGUGCCUUGGUCUCAAGGAACCAGGAACAAUGGCUGCAAGCUGACUCUGGCAUAUCUGGGAUUAAGGUGAUAAAAAUGCUUCUUUCUGCAAAAGCAGAAGUGAUUCAUCUAAGUAAUAUGGGGGAAAAACACUUAUAUGACUUUGUCAGUGAUGAAAGCCACAUGAAAUAGGACAUUAACAUCUUGCUGAAUUCUCAGCUGUACUCUUCACCUUGUUUCCGGUACUGAUCUUGAGACAAACUACUGGCACAGGUAUUGAUAUACCCUGCUUUAUAGUUCUACAGCAUAGAAAAAUUCUUGCAUGACACAUAUGGCUAUCCUCUAGGGAUAACGUAUGCUUAUCUUUAGGAAUAUCUCUGCUGUCCUAAAUGAGUAUUGUGUUCAUUUUUUGAAAAAACUUGUUUAUUACUAACUUAGUAACAAGGAAACGUCGUGUGGUAACUCUCACACCUAUGCCAUAGCAGACUUCAGUCUUGUCCCAGGUUACAAUGUAAGAUGUGCCCAAAGUAUGUAUUCUAUCACCAUCUACAGGAGCUGUUGAAACUAGGUUGGGCAGUGUUUCUCUUGCCCCCUUCCUCCGGACUAUCUUUUGUUAAUGGGUCAUCAAUGGCUUUGCCGCGGGACUCAUAGCUAACUCCCUCUGGGAGCUAUCUCUGUUUAAUGGACAAUCCAGGACCCCUUGCAUGACCCAUAGAAUGAUAUCAGCCCAUUGUGAGAUGCUCCGCCCAGGGGGAGGAGCCAAGCAUUUCCACCUGGAUAUAAUCGGUGAAUGGGGACAGCACUGGUAGCCUUAUCCACUGGAUUCCCAGAAUACAAGAGCUAUCAGACCUUUCUACAGGAUCACUGCUUCAACAAGACCACUUCAUCUGGACCGCUACCACCACCACAGGGUAUCAGUGGAAGAACGCAAUUUUGUAGAGAUGCACAGAUGGCCUUCAAAUUUGUACCUGAAGCAGCUUGCUGAUUACAGGAACUAUAUCCACUCUCAGAAGUGCCACUGCACAGUAAUGUAAAGAGACUGAAUACACACAAAA